AAGAAAGUAAAUAAGGGUACACGGGGGAUGCCUAGGCUCUCAGAGGCGAUGAAGGACGUGAUAAGCUGCGAUAAGCUACGGGGAUUGGCAAAUGCGAAUUGAUCCGUAGAUUUCCGAAUGGGGCAACCUAACUAUCUGAAGGAUAGUUGUAUAAUACGCGAACGCGCUGAACUGAAACAUCUAAGUAGGCGUAGGAGGAGAAAAUAAUAAUGAUUUCCCAAGUAGUGGCGAGCGAACGGGAAAGAGCCCAAACCAUACAUGUUACGGCAUAUAUGGGGUUGUAGGACCACGA
rnacentral:rRNA from 1 species